GACAGCUCACUCUCGUUACCUCUCUCCAGAUUUCUUUUUUUUUUGUUUUCUUUUUUUUUGUCUCAAUCAUAUCACUAUAUUCGGUGUCUUCCUCACCGAAUUGACAACUCCGUCACCGGAGAGAAUCAUAACUUUCUUAUUAAUGUGGUUGUAGAGUGAAGCAUUACACGGACUGUCUCUGAACAAAUAUGGAUACCCAUCAAUUCAAACACAUUAUCCUUAUGUAAAAGGCUUAGUUUUCACAGAUGAAAAGUUUCUUAGAUCUGAAAUUAUGUCACAGAAAAAUAUCAACCGUAUCAAAUGUUGGGGACUUUAACACAUCUGAAGAAUCGAACAAAGUUAAAUCAGACAUGUAAUCUAAGUUCAGAUGUAAUGGUGGUGCUGCUCCGUGGUGAUACAAAUAGCUGAAGAAAUAAGUUUAUAAAAAGUGUAGCAUUACACUUGCGUCUUACAAAGAAAGUUGCAGUUUCUAGGUGGUUGAAUGAGUAAGGAAUUUUGAUAGUGUGAUUCGGCUUGCAGAUAGGAAGGGAUUGAACAUGAACUAAUACUACCACCCAAAAAGAUAAGUAUCUUUUUAUACUAUACCAGAAUUUAAAUAUAUAGUAACUUACUGUUAUACUGUGUUCUUUUGGCAGGACAAUAUGCGUAGUACAUGGUACAUCCAAAUGGAAAUUAAGAAGCAAAUUGAUGACAGCGACUAUUAACACAACUUUCUUCAGUGCAUUUAAUCAGGCAUAGGGUUUGCCAGUAAAAAGAAGAUGAUGUCGGUGGGGUUUCAAUGGUAUAGGGUGUUUCAUCAUGAAGAUAGUUUUGAUGGACUGAACAUUCAUUCAUGUUUGGAUUUUCUUUAAAAAAGCCUAGAUUUAAUCGUAAAUGGGCUUAAAAACGAUUUGAAUAUGUUUUAAAAAUCGAAGGCUUGAGAUUUGUUUAAAAUAA